AGCAAUGACCCGGGUAAACAACUGGCAUUCUACAGUGUACAGCGUUGCCAAGCAGGAGGAAUAAGAAGGUCAGCCUGCGAGUCCCAACUUUUUGAGGUUCUCUCUGGGACAGACCCAAGUCCAGAGCAGGAAGUGGUGGCUGCAAAGCAAGAGACAGCACUUCUCUCCCAUGGUGAGAACAGUGCUCUGGAUCAAAUGAAGAGUCACUGAGCAGCACUCUCCUGUGCCUGGCACACAGAAGGACUCACUGAGGAUUCCAUUUGAUGCUGAAUUCUCAUCCAUUCCUGAAUUUUUCAUUCUUUAGAGCAAGGGUGGGCAAACUUCCGGUCAAGGGCUGGAUCAAAUGGUCUUUAUUGCAGGGACUUAAUUCUACCGCUGUGUCACAAAUCACAAAUCUAAAUAAGUGGGCCUGGUUGUAUUCCAAUAAAACUUUAUAUACAAAACAGGCAGUGCAUCAGUUAUAGCCUGUGGGUAGUAGUUGCUAGCCCCUACCUAAUGAUUCUCAAACUCUGACUGGGACCAUUGAAUUCUUGUCCAAUAGAUUAUUCUUCUCUUCCUGAUUGGUGUUGGGCUCAAUCACGUGACUGGCUUUGGCCAAUGGGAUUGCAGGAGUGCAGUUCUCUGCACCUUGUCAUUCAGCCAAUGGGAUGGCAGCAGACAUGAGACAAGAGGAGGCUUUCAGUCUGCCUAAGGGGCAAGGCUUGCCCUUUUGUGCCUUGAACAUUCUGAUGAGAAGAGCUUCUGCCAGGCAGCUGCGACCCUUUAGCCUGGCCUCACAUGGAGCACCUCGGGAGCACAGCUCACAUGCCAGGACCAGGAGCUUGAAGCAGAGCUGCCCAGCCAUGCCUAGCCUAGAAGGUCACCUGUCAGCUGAUCCACAGAUAAAUAAAUGAGCCCAGAUGAAAUCAGCAAAAUGUGCCCAGCUACUCCCAGACUCAUUAGAAAUAAAUGCUUCAUGUCUGAUGCCACUGUGAUUUUUGUAAUGUUUGUUAUGCAGCACUCUUGUGGGAAGAGCUGACUGAUACAAAGGCUUCAAUAAGAAACAUAUCAUACUCUGUGAUUCAGAUUUACAAAAUUAAUUAUAACAAAAUAUUUAGAAAAUACUUAAACACCUGCCAGAUACUAUUUUAAGUGCUCCAUAUAUACUUAGUCAUUUAAUCCUUAUGACAAGCCUAUACAGUACAUAUUAUUAAGGUGGAGAAACUGAGGCACAGAGAAGUUAAACAAUUUUCCCUAGGCUACAUAGUAAAUGAUUACACUACAGUGGUUCAAACAGGUCUGGGUUCAUAGUCCAUUGUUAACUACACCUUAAUAUGAUCUGUUCUAGUGAUGUUAAACCUUUCAGAGCUUUCAAUGAUACAAACAGCCCACUGCAGCAUGCAUGCCAUAGGUUCGCCACCACUGAUCUAAUGCACUCUGCUACUUUUAUAAACAUCUAGUGGUCAUACAACACUGUAUGCCUGGAUAUAUACCAUUUUUAUUUGUCAACUGUGCCUCAAUAAAGCUGAAC
rnacentral:lncRNA from 1 species